ACAAGGAGACCCAGGAUAGAAACACUGUGC
rnacentral:piRNA from 1 species